rnacentral:rRNA from 1 species
CCAGACUCCUACGGGAGGCAGCAGUGGGGAAUAUUGGGCAAUGGACGCAAGUCUGACCCAGCAACGCCGCGUGAAGGAAGAAGGCUUUCGGGUUGUAAACUUCUUUUAAGGGGGAAGAGCAGAAGACGGUACCCCUUGAAUAAGCCACGGCUAACUACGUGCCAGCAGCCGCGGUAAUACAUAGGGGGCAAGCGUUAUCCGGAAUUAUUGGGUGUAAAGGGUGCGUAGACGGAGAAACAAGUUGGUUGUGAAAUCCCUCGGCUCAACCGAGGAACUGCAACCAAAACUAUUUCCCUUGAGUGUCGGAGAGGAAAGUGGAAUUCCUAGUGUAGCGGUGAAAUGCGUAGAUAUUAGGAGGAACACCAGUGGCGAAGGCGACUUUCUGGACGAUAACUGACGUUGAGGCACGAAAGUGUGGGGAGCAAACAGGAUUAGAUACCCGUGUA